rnacentral:rRNA from 1 species
AUACGUAGGGUGCGAGCGUUAAUCGGAAUUACUGGGCGUAAAGCGUGCGCAGGCGGUUUUGUAAGACAGUGGUGAAAUCCCCGGGCUCAACCUGGGAACUGCCAUUGUGACUGCAAGGCUGGAGUGCGGCAGAGGGGGAUGGAAUUCCGCGUGUAGCAGUGAAAUGCGUAGAUAUGCGGAGGAACACCGAUGGCGAAGGCAAUCCCCUGGGCCUGCACUGACGCUCAUGCACGAAAGCGUGGUGAGCAAACAGGAUUAGAUACCCUGGUCGUCCACGCCCUAAACGAUGUCAACUGGUUGUUGGGAAUUUAUUUUCUCAGUAACGAAGCUAACGCGAUAAGUUGACCGCCUGGGGAGUACGGCCGCAAGGUUAAAACUCAAAUGAAUUGACGGGG